rnacentral:rRNA from 1 species
AACGAACGCUGGCGGCGUGCCUAACACAUGCAAGUCGAACGAGAAAGGGGCUUCGGCUCCGAGUAAAGUGGCGCACGGGUGAGUAACACGUGGGUAACCUGCCUCUAAGAUUGGGAUAACUCGUCGAAAGAUGAGCUAAUACCGAAUAAGACCACAGUUCCCGCGGGAACAGGGGUCAAAGGUAGCCCCUGCUUGCAAGCUAUCACUUAGAGAUGGGCCUGCGCACCAUUAGCUAGUUGGUAGGGUAACGGCCUACCAAGGCAAAGAUGGUUAGCUGGUCUGAGAGGAUGAUCAGCCACACUGGAACUGAGACACGGUCCAGACUCCUACGGGAGGCAGCAGGGGGGAAUAUUGCGCAAUGGGCGAAAGCUUGACGCAGCAACGCCGCGGGAGUGAUGAAGGCCUUCGGGUCGUAAAGCUCUGUCGGGAGGAACGAAUGCUCCUGAGGUUAACAGCCUCGGGAGGUGACGGUACCUUCAAAGGAAGCACCGGCUAACUCUGUG